ensembl:lncRNA OXCT1-AS1 OXCT1 antisense RNA 1
AGGAACGCGUCGCCGCGUGUCCGUGACCAGGGCACCGCGCCACGGAUGCCAGAUCCCAGGCUGGAGAGAGCGGGUUGCCCCAGAUCCGCGGGCAGAGGCGCAGAGCCGAAGCCCGGAGGAGAGGAGUUUGAGAGCCGCCAUCUUCGGGCGGUGAGGCAGGAGGAGGCUGCGGGUUGGAGCGCGCGUUUGAGCGUCGGUGCGCGACUGCGAAGGAAACCCGGGCGGGCUGGAGGCUCGACAGCGCGUCGAUGACGUCCUCCCGGCCUUUCGAGCCGCACGCCACCGGCGCGCUGCUGGCUGCUGCUUUUAAAAGAAGUGAGGCUGGGCGGGGCCCCGGCGGGGAGAAGAGGCUCUGUGCAGCCGGGGCGGAUCGCGGGGAAGUUCCUCUCAGCGCCUCAGGUGUCUGGGCGUGUGCAGCUGUGUUGGCGCACACUUGCCGCUACAGCCCUUCUGUCAGCCCUUUAGCUUCGAUGGGGCGCUGGUGGCCGCCUCCCCCUAG